rnacentral:rRNA from 1 species
CAGCAGCCGCGGUAAUGCGUAGGUGGCAAGCGUUGUCCGGAAUUAUUGGGCGUAAAGGGCUCGCAGGCGGUUUCUUAAGUCUGAUGUGAAAGCCCCCGGCUCAACCGGGGAGGGUCAUUGGAAACUGGGAAACUUGAGUGCAGAAGAGGAGAGUGGAAUUCCACGUGUAGUGGUGAAAUGCGUAGAGAUGUGGAGGAACACCGGUGGCGAAGGCGACUCUCUGGUCUGUAACUGACGCUGAGGAGCGAAAGCGUGGGGAGCGAACAGGAUUAGAUACCCGUGUAGUCCCUGUCUCUUAUAC